AGUAAAUUAGCAACAAAAACCAUAAUCUAUUUAUUAUUAUUAACUACAUUAAAAGAGGGUUUGGGAGACCUUAGAGUGACACGUGUCCCGCCAACCCUCCUCUUCUCUCUCCUUCUACACACACACACUAUAAUACAAAAUUUAAAAUUUUGAUAUUUUUAAAUUUUAAAGUUUUAAAUUUUAAAUUUAAUACUUAAUAUUUUAAAUUAUAAUAUUUAUUUCCAAAUUUUAAACUUUUCAAAUUUUAAAAUUUUAAAUCUCUAAAUUCUAAUAAUACGCGUAAUAAAUCGCGUAAUAAAAUCUAACCUAAUAAAUACAAUUUAAAUUACAUAAAAUAUCGCUGUAUAAAAAAUAUAUAAAAUUUAAAUUUCAGGACUAAAAUUUUAGAUAUAUAGUGCAUAUGUGUAUAUAUAUAAUUAAUUUUAUUAAAUAAUUUUUUUACAACUUUUUUUUUUAUUUAUUGGUUUUCUUAAAUUAUUUUGAUAGAUUUAUCUCAAAUUUUUUUCAUAUAAAUUUUAUAAAAUAAAUUAUUGUAUAAAUUUACUUUGCGCAUAAUUAUUUUUAUAUAAUUUUUUAUUUAAUUAAUAAUUAGACUUAUAAAACUAUAUAAAAAUAUUAAAAAAUAUAUAAUUUAUUAUAAAAAUAAUUUUAUAUCCGCAGCAUCGUGCGGGUAAUUCACUAGUAUAUAAUUAAAGGAAACCAAGAAAGAAG
rnacentral:lncRNA from 1 species